rnacentral:lncRNA from 1 species
CGUGCGGCCCGCCCCGCGCUGCCUCGCGCGCCCUCACGCAGCGCCUGCCCGCCGCCCGGGGCGCCCGGGGGAAUCGGUGCGUCUCGAGACUCGGCGAGCUGGGAACGCUGCUGCGUCGGCGGCCGUGGUGCCGGGCUCUCUCCCGGCUCGGGCUAAGCAGGCGGAGGCCCGCCCCCGGCCCAGCUCCGGAGCCCCAGCCGCCCCGCCUACUCCGGGCGGGGAAGGGGCUGGGCGCACGCGGUCCGGGCCCCGCCUCCUGGGGGGAGCGAGCGGGCGGGCGGGCAGAGGCGCGGCGGGUCCCCACGUCUCCCCCGCGCCGUGCGCCCGCCCUCCCGGCGCCCAGCCAGAGGCGCGCUCGAGCCGUGGUCCCACCCCCGCGCCCGUCCGAUUGGGUCUUCCUGGGGGUGUGUGGGAGGGGCGGGGCGCACUCGGGGGACGCCGCGGGAGAUGGUACAGUCCACCCUUCGGGCUGCCCGCCGCCCCCCCCCCUUCCGCGGUUCAAGUUUCUGCGGCCGGAGGACGCGGCCUCCGCCAAUCCCAGGGCUACAGGGCGCUUUUAAAAUGCAGGUGGCUCCCUGGAAGGUGAGAUGAGACGGUUCUAGAGUCCCAGGGCUCCCUGACCCGGGUUCCAGUGCAGUCCUGCCUCCCACCCGCUGUGUGGCCAGAACCAUCACUUCAUCGCAUCUGUGGAUGGGACAGCAAUAAUGUCUGCCCCGCGGGGCUGUGGUGGAGACAGGAGCCAUGCGAAACUGGAGACGUAUGGUCUGGACGAGGGCUCAAUCUGGGACAAGUCUGGUUUUCUUAUCAACUGACACAAGAUAACGCGUGUACAGCCCCGGGUCCCCCCUGGGGACACACUGCCCCUUCUCUGACUCUGGUGGAUGCAGAAGUGGGACCUGCCUUCUCCUCCCCCGUGUCCCCAUCCUGGAAUCUGAGGAGACAGGGCAGGUGGCGGCUGGAGCAGCCGGCCUAUAAGUGCGAGUUGUUCACAGGACUGGUGGCCUAUGUCAGCCACCCGACUCCCUUCCUACCCCGUUCAUGUGACCAUGAACUGGGCCCCCUUUUCUUGUCCUCAGAAGCCUAGUUCACUAUGCAGAGGAGGCCAGAUUCAGAAUCCCACACUGGCCUUGGGCCGCCCCCUCUAUGGCCCGAAGCAAGCCCCUAGCCUCCCUGUGCCUCAGUCUUCCUAUCUCUAAAAUGGGUGUGUGUGCUAAGUCACUUCAGUCAUGUCCAGCUCUUUGUGACUCUAUGGACUGUAGCCCUCCAGGCUCCUCUGUCCAUGAAGAUUCUCCAGGCAAGAAUCCUGGAGUGGCUUGCCAUGCCCUCCUUCAGGGGAUCUUCCUAACCCAGGGGUCAAACCUGCGUCUCCAGAAUUGCAGGCAGAUUCUUUACAGCUGAG